rnacentral:lncRNA from 1 species
AAAAAACAAAGGACGUGAAUGUAGCUACUUUUGGAGCAAAAUAUCAUUUGAUAUGGCACCCACUGAUUUAGGUAGAGCUAUGGAUGUCCAAGUGCAUCCUUCACAUCAUUGGUACAGCCAAGGAAACAUUUUCUGGGAGAAAUUUAAAAGUGGCCUUGUGUAAGAUAUCCCCAAUAUUUGACGCAUGCCAACUUCUUAUUGGGCCAAAUACAUCUUUCAGUAUCGUUUAAAGAUCCAAUUUGAAUCCAUAAUGACAAAAAAAACACCGAAGAGAGGUAAACAAUACUUCCUGCCCUUUUUUACUACAUGCAACCCCAAAAACAACCAAAAGGACAACAAUACCCCUCAUCAGACACCCUACAUUCCUGCCUCUCCCAUCAAACCCUAGAGGGCAAGCCUCCGUAACCACUGUGAGCGUCGACCUUGCCCCUUCGUAGAAGAUUUUGCAUCCACCUCAACACACACAUGAAUGGGGACACACAAGGAAUGAGGGAAUAAACUAGGGCAAAUGCGAAGA